rnacentral:rRNA from 1 species
CCUACGGGAGGCAGCAGUCGAGAAUCAUUCACAAUGGGGGAAACCCUGAUGGUGCGACGCCGCGUGGGGGAAUGAAGGUCUUCGGAUUGUAGACCCCUGUCAUGUGGGGGCAAAUUAAAAAGAUAGUACCACAAGAGGAAGAGACGGCUACCUCUGUGCCAGCAGCCGAGGUAAUACCGAGGGCUCAAGCGUUGUUCGGAUUCACUGGGCGUAAAGGGUGCGUAGGCUGUUUCGUAAGUCGUGUGUGAACGGCGAGGGCUCAACCCGCGGACGGCACAUGAUACUGCGAGACUAGAGUAAUGGAGGGGAUACCGGAAUUCUCGGUGUAGCAGUGAAAUGUGUAGAUAUCGAGAGGAACACUCGUGGCGAAGGCGGGUUCCUGGACAUUAACUGACGCUGAGGCACGAAGGCCAGGGGAGCGAAAGGGAUUAGAUACCCGGGUAGUC